rnacentral:rRNA from 1 species
GAUUAACGCUGGCGGCGUGCAUAACACAUGCAAGUCGAACGAUGAAACUUAGUAGACUUCUUCGGAAAGACACUAAGCGGAUUAGUGGCGAACGGGUGAGUAACGCGUGAGUAACCUGCCUUACACAAGGGGAUAGCCUUUGGAACCGAAGAAUAAUACCCUAUAAAACCAUAAAAGCACAUGCUAGAAUGGUCAAAGUGAUAGCGGUGUAAGAUGGACUUGCGUCUGAUUAGCUAGUUGGUGAGAUAAAAGCUCACCAAGGCAACGAUCAGUAGCCGGCUUGAGAGAGUGUACGGCCACAUUGGGACUGAGACACGGCCCAGACUCCUACGGGAGGCAGCAGUGGGGAAUUUUGCACAAUGGGGGAAACCCUGAUGCAGCGACGCCGCGUGAUUUAGAAGGCCUUCGGGUUGUAAAAAUCUUUUGUAUAGGAAGAAAAUGACAGUACUAUACGAAUAAGGUCCGGCUAAUUACGUG